GUUAGCGUUCAGGAAACUACAUACUGAAUCACUGCUGUGAUCAUUUCUCCCCUUUUUCAGGUUGGUAAGGUUCAGGACUAAAGUAGUGUUUUCAUGGUGCAUUGCUAAUAUGUUUAGAGUAUCAGGAACGUGUUUUUGUUGUAUUCCGAAUAAAUGAAAUUCCAGUUUUGUUGAGUGAAAUUGAGCGCAUGUGCGAACAUAGCCUUGGUAGCUAGCAAGUGCAGCACUUAGCCGCCACGUGUUUUUGUGUCUGGUGAACAUAUAUGUGGACAUUUACGAAUGAUAUUUUAGUACAGUUGUUUUUGUGUUGCUUGAGUUUAAAUACUUUAUUGAUACAAAUGUAAAAUGUGAGUAUUGAGAAUGUGUCUCUAAGAAUGUUUGAAUUUGUGUGUAUAAUUUCAUCACAGUGAAGUGCGUGUUGAGGAAACUUGACACUGAAUCACUGCUGUGAUUAUUUCUCCCCUUUUUCAGGGGCGUAACUUAAAGGAAACAUGUUGAACAUUGGAUCAGUGUGAUCACAGUGAACAGUCAGUGUGUUGUGAUCUUACAGUCAGUGAGACUCACAGGAUCCAGCAGCAGAACUUCAGAGAACAUGUUGGUCCUGAAGCUGAUCUGAUGGCACUGACUGCAUGAUGCUCAAGUUUUUAUAUCAGUUUGAGGGAGUUCACUUUGCAUGAAAAGAAGUCUGACGGGCUGUAAAAGGAUUAUCACCUGUCUUUUUCUGGUUUUAUUUUUAUAUUAAGGUCUCUGGCUGGGCGGAGCCUGUAAUCUCCUGACCUGGUACACCUGGCGAGUGUACCUGGCUAUAUAAGCCAACCUGCUGAGCCAGAGCUCCUUCUCUCUGCUCUGCUCUCUCCAUUCCACCUCACAAUGAGCCACCCAUGCUGUCCUUUGUUGUGUUUUGUUCUUUUUUACACUGACAACAUGCACCCUCACACACUACUGAUGCUACAACCGCACCUCAUUAUCAUGUUUUUCUUAAUAAAUAAUCUUUUGUUGCAGCCUAAGGGCCAGUUGUAACAAACUGGACUCUCGUCCGUUGUGAGGUAUGGCCUGCUGUUUGGUAUGCUUCUUUCUCUGGGGGUAAGUUUUGUAAGAAACCUAAUUUGAAUUGAGCACUUUGUGAGCACAGCAGCAUGGACUGUUGCAGUUUGUGGACUGUGGACAGGUAAAUUCAGCAUAAUGAUACAUGUGAGUAUCUCUUUUGUCUCAGCUUUUGGGAAACCUUAGAAAGUUAUUUGAUUGUGCUCUUGGAAUUGUGCUUUGAGGUGUUUGUGUUUCAGUGCAGGUUUUCUUGUUGGCGGCUGAGGAGACUGUUUGAGUGUCCUUUGAUAGUUUUGGAUCACAGGCAUAAAGAGGUAAGUGUUGAGUCAGGUGUGUAUAAUUGUAGAAGAGGUUCCUUUGCUAGGUUUAGCAGCGUUUCUCCUUUGGGUUUUUCUGAGGGGGUGACUUGUAGUGUUGAGCUACGGUGGUUGGAGCAUCCCUUUUCCCUUCCCUAAAGCUGCUCAGGAGCACAUCGGUGGUUAUGGGAGGGUUGUCAGUUUUCUGGUCGCCUUUCUCAAGCCAGCAGGCUGUUGGUGCUUAAAUACCCAUCGCCAGGCCUCAUGAAGACUAGGGUGAGUUAAUUAGCAGUUUGAUAGAAGGGAACUUUCCUUUGUAGUGGCUGUUUAG
ensembl:lncRNA